AUUGAACGCUGGCGGCAGGCCUAACACAUGCCAGUCGAGCGAGCGGCGGACGGGUGAGUAAUGUCUGGGAAACUGCCUGAUGGAGGGGGAUAACUACUGGAAACGGUAGCUAAUACCGCAUACCAUCAGAUGUGCCCAGGUGGGAUUAGCUAGUAGGUGGGGUAACGGCUCACCUAGGCGACGAUCCCUAGCUGGUCUGAGGGGAUGACCAGCAACACUGGAACUGGAACACGGUCCAGAUGCCUAGGGGAGGCAGCAGUGGGGAAUAUUGGACAAUGGGCGCAAGCCUGAGGCAGCCAGGCCGCGUGUGUGGAGAGGGCCUUCGGGUUGUAAAGCACUUUCAGCGGGGAGGCGUUACCCGCAGAAGAAGCACCGGCUAACUCCGUGCCAGCAGCCGCGGUAAUAC
rnacentral:rRNA from 1 species